rnacentral:rRNA from 1 species
UACGAAGGGGGCGAGCGUUGUUCGGAAUUACUGGGCGUAAAGCGUGCGUAGGCGGUUCGUUAAGUCUGUCGUGAAAGCCCUGGGCUCAACCUGGGAAUUGCGAUGGAUACUGGCGAGCUAGAGUACGGUAGAGGAUGGUGGAAUUCCCGGUGUAGCGGUGAAAUGCGUAGAGAUCGGGAGGAACACCCGUGGCGAAGGCGGCCAUCUGGACCAGUACUGACGCUGAGGCACGAAAGCGUGGGGGAGCAAACAGG